UCAUUCAUUCAAACCAUCGAAGUAGGAUAAGCGGCUUUGGUAAUGAUUCUUUAAAUGAACCGAUUCAGAAUCCUCUUCUUGAAUCGUUUGAGUCGUUCUCACUCGGUCAGGGUUGCACGUGUGGGUUGCUUUUCCUGCACGUGUAAUCAGCACGUGUUCACAGACCAUAAAUCCCGACCCCAUGGUAGACACUCGACAGAAAUUUCAUACUAAAACAGGAGCCUGUGGUUUCCUACUCUGAACGCUGUUCGAGCCAGGUCGACUUCAGGAGGCCCCACUCCGCCCUUCACCACCCUGUCAGUCACCCACCCAGCCAAUCACAUCACUCCUGUAGAGUUGCACUGACCAGAGAAACACAACACCAUGAACUAGGUCUACUGGAGUGAAAUGAUCGAAUGCUUUCUUCAGCUUUGAGUAUUGCUGAAGACUCAAAGUGCCGUGUGGUGGUGUUCUCGGGUACAGGGAAAAUCUUCACUGCAGUUUAUUUUGGAUACAGGCAGAGGAAGCUCAGCAAAAGCUUAAGAGACAGAAUGGAGAGGACCCAGCCCUGCCUCCAUUCUGCCCACUGUUUGCCAGCUUGGGAAACAUUCUGCAGUGUGACGUGCUGCUUG